rnacentral:rRNA from 1 species
CCUACGGGCGGCUGCAGUGAGGAAUAUUGGUCAAUGGGCGCAAGCCUGAACCAGCCAAGUCGCGUGAGGGAUGACGGUCCUAUGGAUUGUAAACCUCUUUUGUCGGGGAGCAAGGCCCGCCACGUGUGGCGGGCCGGAGAGUACCCGAAGACAAAGCAUCGGCUAACUCCGGGCCAGCAGCCGCGGUAAUACGGCGGAUGCGAGCGUUAUCCGGUUUUAUUGGGUUUAAAGGGUGCUCAGGCUGCGUGUUAAGUCAGCGGUAAAAUUUCGGGGCUCAACCCCGACAAGCCGUUGAAACUGGCGUGCUAGAGUGGGCGAGAAGUAUGCGGAAUGCGUGGUGUAGCGGUGAAAUGCAUAGAUAUCACGCAGAACUCCGAUUGCGAAGGCAGCAUACCGGCGCCCAACUGACGCUCAGGCACGAAAGCGUGGGUAUCGAACAGGAUUAGAUACCCCUGUAGUC